ACCCCGAUUUCACCCCAAAUCCCCCCAGGACCCCCCAAAACCCCCAAAUUUCGGGGUGCCCUCAGAGGGGGCGCACGCGGCGGCGGCAGCAGCGGCAGCUGAGACACGGGGGGACCCCCAGACUCAGGACCCCCCAAAACCCCAAAUUUGGGGGUGCCCUCAGAGGGGGCGCACGCGGCGGCGGCAGCAGCGGCAGCUGAGGCAGCGCAGCAGCGCCAGGCUGAGCUGGAAAAGGGGGCCCAGGUCGAAGAGGAGGCGGUGGAAGGAGCGAACCCCCAAAUCCCCGCGGGGGUCGGCGAAGCGCAGCGCCAGCAGCGGCGAGUACAGGGCGUUGGUGGGGGUCCGCAGCGGGGGGCGGGGGGCGGCGAUCACCCCCGCGAUGGCCUGGGGGGCACCCCAAAAGGGUCAAAAAUGGCCCCAAAAAAAUAAAAAAAAAUCCCC